rnacentral:rRNA from 1 species
UCAGACGAUGCGUCAUGCAUAUCAAUAAGCGGAGGAAAAGAAACUAACAAGGAUUCCCCUAGUAACGGCGAGUGAAGCGGGAAGAGCUCAAAUCUGAAAUCUUAAAGGGUUUCCCUUUACGAAUUGUAGUUUAAAGAAGUGUUUUCUGUUGAGGUUUUGGUAAAAGUUCUUUGGAAUAGGACAUCAUAGAGGGUGAGAAUCCCGUAUUUGACCUUUACUUUCAACUUUGUGAUACACUUUCAAAGAGUCGGAUUGUUUGGGAAUGCAGUCCAAAAUGGGUGGUAAAUUUCAUCUAAAGCUAAAUAUUGGCGAGAGACCGAUAGCGAACAAGUACCGUGAGGGAAAGAUGAAAAGAACUUUGAAAAGAGAGUUAAACAGUACGUGAAAUUGUCAAAAGGGAAGCGUUUGACACCAGUGUUGUUUUUCUGAAAAUCAAUUAAAGAACUGUUUAUGCUAAGUUGUUUAGACUUUAUCAGCUAUCUGUUUAGUUUUGAGCUUUUCUUUAAUGCACUUUUCAGUUAACAAGUCAACAUCAAUUUCUUUUGCUGUAAAAAACUUGAGGAAGGUGGCUUGAGAUUCGUCUUAAGUGUUUAUAGCCUCUUGCCUAUGCAGUCGGAGAGAUUGAGGUCUGCAGCGUAGAUCCUUCGGGGCUAAAUGCAUUUGUGCUAAGUUAUAGCAUUUUAUAGACAACUUGUUGACUAUGAUUUGUCUUGUAGCUUACUCGCUUAUGUUAUUUUACCUACGCUUAGGAUGUUGAAUCUGUGCGAGACUAC